GCGGGUGGGCGGUGCGACGGUACAGCGGCGGCUCGUUCGUACUGUCAUAGGAGACUGUGGUACUGUUUACAGUGUAUUAAAAUACCUUCUGGUACGCUGUAGUACUUUUCGCCUGCUCAAGCGGCUCAAGUGUUAUGAUCGAGUUUUCGAGUGAAGAACGGCAGCAGUGACACCGCUUUGUUUCGAUUCGUCCUUCUACACGCGGUGGGGAGAUGCAGCUGGACCUUCUUGUCCCCUUCAAAAGCGCAUUGACACUGGUCCGUGAAGAAAGAGCACCUGUCUUCACUGUUCAUAUGACAUUCUGUGCCAAUGGCCUCACUGCAAGAGGAAAACCUUGGAUGAAGUGAUUGAUAGCUGUUGUUCAGUGUGACCUUGAAGUAAUGUAGGGUUAAUUUUGCUACAGAGAAGAAAGCAAUGACAAUAAAUUUGAGACACAAACAAGGCCAACACAAGGUGUAUUUUGUUUGUUGAAUAGUGAGCUAUCACAUUUGCACUGUUUCCUUGACAUAAGCCAGUGCAUUGGCUGUUGACAUUGAUUAUUGACAUUGGCUGCUGAUAGCCAGUAUGCUAUUAUUUUGCUAUUCUAAUUUAAGUAGUCUUUUCUGCUACCUCCAUCAGCUGGUGAAUGUUGUCAGAAUUUCAGGGGCUGCGAGGAACGACCCAAUGUGAGCUCUUAUUCUCACACUAUCACAACAGUGGCAGACUGGCUGACAAAACCUGCUGCUUGGGCUUCAUCUGCGACUCGUAGAGUACUAGAAACCAUUGAGCCCACCAAACCCUGUGUAAGCAGCUGCAUCUUUCCCUGAGUUGGCACUAAGAAGGAAGUUCCAUACCCGUGAUCUUGUUGACCAACUUUCUGCAUGGGAGUCCCGGUUGUCAGUAGAAGAUUGCAACAAAGUAUUCCAGGGUGAAAAUCAAGCCUUUCCGGUUAGCAGAUACGGUGGGCCUCCUAAUCGAAACAUGGCUCCAGGGCCAACAACGAGCUCUUUGUGGUAGGUAGGCCAGCCACAGUUCAAUUGUAAUACCAAUUGGUAACUUUUGAAAGUGCCACAAGCCAGUUUUGUGUGUGUGUUGUGAGGAUGGUAUAGUUUUUGCAGCCAUGAUUUAGGCAAAAAUAAGUCUUUUUGGUGACUGGAAAAAUUUAUUCAAGAGGAGUGAAUGCACCUUUGCUGUCUUUUAAGCUUAUAAUUCCAUCCAAGUUGUAGCCUGUUCUUUCUCUGUGCUGUUUGCUUUAUUUGAAAAUCAAGUACUACAUUUAGUGAUGCUCUCAAAAAAGGCUAAUUGGUUCCUGUACCCGUUUUAUAAACAUUUUAAAUAUCAUUUUAACUAACACAAUUUUAUUUUUUGUUGCACUGAUAAUGAAGAUUUCUAAGUUCUCUGUAAAGAAGUUGCAUUUACUAAGGUUCCACUGUAUUCAUCAUAUUCAUGGCAAC